CACGUAGGGCGCGAGCGUUGUCCGGAAUUAUUGGGCGUAAAGAGCUCGUAGGCGGCCUGUUGCGUCCGCUGUGAAAGCCCGGGGCUUAACCCCGGGUCUGCAGUGGAUACGGGCAGGCUAGAGGUAGGUAGGGGAGAAUGGAAUUCCCGGUGUAGCGGUGAAAUGCGCAGAUAUCGGGAGGAACACCGGUGGCGAAGGCGGUUCUCUGGGCCUUACCUGACGCUGAGGAGCGAAAGCGUGGGGAGCGAACGGG
rnacentral:rRNA from 1 species